ensembl:snRNA U6 U6 spliceosomal RNA
AUGCUCACUUUGGCAGCACAUAUACUAAAAUUAGAAUGAUAGAGAUUAGCAUGGCCCCUGUUCAAGGAUGACACAAAAAUUUGUGAAGCAUUCCAUAUUUUU